UACGGAGGAGGCAAGCGUUAUCCGGAAUUAUUGGGCGUAAAGCGUCCGUAGGUGGCACAUCAAGUCUGCGGUCAAAGACCGGGGCUUAACCCUGGAAAGGCCGUGGAAACUGAAGUGCUAGAGUGCAGUAGGGGUAGAGGGAAUUCCCGGUGUAGCGGUGAAAUGCGUAGAGCUCGGGAAGAACAUCGGUGGCGAAAGCGCUCUACUGGACUGCAACUGACACUGAGGGACGAAAGCUAGGGGAGCGAAGGGG
rnacentral:rRNA from 1 species